rnacentral:misc_RNA from 1 species
AACACUGUUAACCUGCGGUACCUGCGGAGGGAUCAUUACCGAGUUUACAACUCCCAAACCCAAUGUGAACCAUACCAAACUGUUGCCUCGGCGGGGUCACGCCCCGGGUGCGUCGCAGCCCCGGAACCAGGCGCCCGCCGGAGGGACCAACCAAACUCUUUACUGUAGUCCCCUCGCGGACGUUAUUUCUUACAGCUCUGAGCAAAAAUUCAAAAUGAAUCAAAACUUUCAACAACGGAU